CCUGGCUCAGGAUGAACGCUAGCGGCAGGCUUAACACAUGUAAGUCGAGGGGCAUCGGGAGUAGCAAUACUUGCCGGCGACCGGCGCAAGGGUGCGUAACGCGUGAGCAACAUGCCCGUAUCAGGGGGAUAAUCCAUGGAAACGUGGUCUAAUACCCCAUAGUAAUUAUGUAAGGCAUCUUAUAUAAUUUAAAGCUUUGGUGGAUACGGAUUGGCUCGCGUGACAUUAGCUAGAUGGUAAGGUAACGGCUUACCAUGGCUACGAUGUCUAGGGGUUCUGAGAGGAAGGCCCCCCACACUGGAACUGAGACACGGUCCAGACUCCUACGGGAGGCAGCAGUGAGGAAUAUUGGACAAUGGAUGGAAAUCUGAUCCAGCCAUGCCGCGUGCAGGAAGAACCGGCCCUAUGGGUUGUAAACUGCUUUUGUAUGGGAGCAAUAAGGGCUACGCGUAGUCCGAUGAGAGUACCAUACGAAUAAGCACCGGCUAACUCCGUGCCAGCAGCAGC
rnacentral:rRNA from 1 species